rnacentral:rRNA from 1 species
CCGCUACUCUGGCAACAGAACGGCGGAUGCCGGGAAUUGGUCAAACUUGAUCAUUUAGAGGAAGUAAAAUCGUAACAAGGUUUCCGUAGGUGAACCUGCGGAAGGAUCAU